UACGGGGGGGGGCAAGCGUUGUUCGGAAUUACUGGGCGUAAAGGGCUCGUAGGCGGCCAACUAAGUCGGAUGUGAAAUCCCCAGGCUUAACUUGGGAACUGCAUCCGAUACUGGAUGGCUUGAAUCCGGGAGAGGGAUGCGGAAUUCCAGGUGUAGCGGUGAAAUGCGUAGAUAUCUGGAGGAACACCGGUGGCGAAGGCGGCAUCCUGGACCGAGAUUGACGCUGAGGCGCGAAAGCCAGGGGGAGCAAACGGG
rnacentral:rRNA from 1 species